AAGUCUAAUGACCCAUACCCAGGUGAAAGAUCAGAGGAUGAUCAAUAAAAGGUUCUUAGUUGCCAACACUUUCUAAGCAACUGUCCGACCCAAGUUCAGGCAAUUACCUGCAAGCACAUGGGUAUAAAGCAUGGAAAAAAAAAGUACUUUAGUAUCAUUUAUUUUUAAUUCAAAAAUUCCAUCAGCACACGAUACUCAUUCUGGGUGAGGAAUAACAAUAAAAAAAAUAAAAAAGGAAAUAGAGAAACACAACAUAUCUUAUCACUCCAAAAAUAAGGCCUAAAUAACAAUGGUUAAAAUAUCAUUCACCUUUAUAAGGUUUUGGCAAAAUACACGCAACUCUCGUUGGUUUGAAAUGUCAUCCAUAUCUUUUUUAUGUAUCAUUUUCACUCGAUCUUCUCACACAAAAUAACAAAGGUAUUUGAUGAAAUUUCAAACCUGUGAAGGGUAAAUGUAUUUAAUCAAAACCUCAACGAGGUAAAUCAAAUCAACCCAAAUGAUAACACGAGAGAUUUAAUGGAUAAAGAAUACAGAACAGAGUGUAGACCAACUAGCCUUGUUACUAAUGGACAACUAAACCAUUUUCUAGUAAAAGAAUUGCAAAUGAGUAAUACUAGUGAUGGAUUCAGGCCACUUCUAGAACAUUGUCCAUGAGAACACACUUCUUGUUGCCAAUAGCCGACCAACAUGAGAAUCCUGAAAAUGGGUUUAAUACUGAGAAUUCCAGUAUUGGGCUAAAAUCUGAAUAACUAGGAUGAUUGCUAUCAACUCUGACAAUGCAAACAAAAUUCGACUGAUUUUUGAGGGUACCAUGCACAACCUUAGUGGAGAUACAAGGGCAUGGUUAUGUAUGUAGGAUUCCCAUCAAAGUCUUUUAAAUGAGGGACUGCUUUUGAUAGCCACACAUAAAACAGCUACUACUACUACUACUACCAUUCCGUCAAUAAGCAUGAAUGAGGUCAAAUCACAAUUUAAAUGGCAGUACUAGUAUUCCAAGUAACAGAAACUUGCUGACAUAAAAUCUAGCAUAGUGGGCAUGGUACAAACCAAGUGUCAACAAUGAUCAUCGAUGUAGAAUCUUUUGUUCAUCUUCUAUACAAUAAGUUCAUCUUCGAGAUAGUUAUAUUCAAAAGUGAAUUCAGUCUUGAUCCUCUGGCACC
rnacentral:lncRNA from 1 species